GAACUUUCCAGAGAUGGAUUGGUGCCUUUCGGGAAACUUAGAUACAGGUGCUGCAUGGCUGUCGUCAGCUCGUGUCGUGAGAUGUUGGGUUAAGUCCCGCAACGAGCGCAACCCUUUUCCUUAUUUGCCAGCGGGUCAUGCCGGGAACUUUAAGGAUACUGCCAGUGACAAACUGGAGGAAGGCGGGACGACGUCAAGUCAUCAUGGCCCUUACGGCCAGGGCUACACACGUGCUACAAUGGUCGGUACAAAGGGUUGCUACCUCGCGAGAGGAUGCUAAUCUCAAAAAGCCGAUCGUAGUCCGGAUCGCAGUCCGCAACUCGACUGCGUGAAGUCGGAAUCGCUAGUAAUCGCGGAUCAGAAUGCCGCGGUGAAUACGUUCCCGGGCCUUGUACACACCGCCCGUCACACCAUGGGAGUUUGUUGCACCAGAAGUAGGUAGUCUAACCGCAAGGAGGACGCUUACCACGGUGUGGCCGAUGACUGGGGUGAAGUCGUAACAAGGUAGGCGUAGAUGA
rnacentral:rRNA from 1 species